rnacentral:rRNA from 1 species
UGGCGACCGGCGCACGGGUGAGUAACGCGUAUGCAACUUACCUAUCAGAGGGGGAUAGCCCGGCGAAAGUCGGAUUAAUACCCCAUAAAACAGGGGUCCCGCAUGGGAAUAUUUGUUAAAGAUUCAUCGCUGAUAGAUAGGCAUGCGUUCCAUUAGGCAGUUGGCGGGGUAACGGCCCACCAAACCGACGAUGGAUAGGGGUUCUGAGAGGAAGGUCCCCCACAUUGGUACCGAGACACGGACCAA